UACGAAGGGGGCUAGCGUUGCUCGGAAUCACUGGGCGUAAAGGGUGCGUAGGCGGUGCGGUAAGUCUGUAGUGAAAUCUCUGGGCUCAACUCAGAGUCUGCUAUAGAAACUGCCGUGCUUGAGUGUGGGAGAGGUGAGUGGAAUUCCCGGUGUAGCGGUGAAAUGCGUAGAUAUCGGAAGGAACACCUGUGGCGAAAGCGGCUCACUGGACCAUUACUGACGCUGAGGCACGAAAGCUAGGGGAGCAAACAGG
rnacentral:rRNA from 1 species